AUUGAACGCUGGCGGCAGGCCUAACACAUGCAAGUCGAACGAGUGGCGGACGGGUGAGUAAUGUCUGGGAAACUGCCUGAUGGAGGGGGAUAACUACGGGAAACGGUAGCUAAUACCGCAUACCAUCAGAUGUGCCCAGAGGGAAUUAGGUUGUGGGGGGGGUAACGGCUCACCAAGGCGCCGAUCCCUAGCUGGUCGGAGAGGAUGACCAGCCACACUGGAACUGGGACACGGUCCAGAAUCCUACGGGAGGCAGCAGUGGGGAAUAUUGCACAAUGGGCGCAAGCCUGAUGCAGCCAUGCCGCGUGUAUGAAGAAGGCCUUCGGGUUGUAAAGUACUUUCAGCGGGGAGGCGUUACCCGCAGAAGAAGCACCGGCUAACUCCGUGCCAGCAGCCGCGGUAAUUC
rnacentral:rRNA from 1 species